CAGUCGCCACGGUAAUACGUAGGUGGCAAGCGUUGUCCGGAAUUACUGGGCGUAAAGCGUGCGCAGGCGGUUGUGUAAGACAGGUGUGAAAUCCCCGGGCUUAACCUGGGAACUGCGCUUGUGACUGCACAGCUAGAGUAUGGCAGAGGGGGGUGGAAUUCCACGUGUAGCAGUGAAAUGCGUAGAGAUGUGGAGGAACACCGAUGGCGAAGGCAGCCCCCUGGGCCAAUACUGACGCUCAUGCACGAAAGCGUGGGGAGCAAACAGGAUUAGAGACCCGCGUAGUCCCUGUCUCUUAUAC
rnacentral:rRNA from 1 species